UACGUAGGGGGCAGGCGUUGUCCGGAUUUAUUGGGCGUAAAGAGCGUGUAGGCGGCCUGAAAGGUCAGCUGUGAAAACUCGAGGCUCAACCUCGAGACGUCGGUUGAAACCAUCUGGCUAGAGUCCGGAAGAGGAGAGUGGAAUUCCCGGUGUAGCGGUGAAAUGCGCAGAUAUCGGGAAGAACACCCGUGGCGAAGGCGGCUCUCUGGGACGGUACUGACGCUGAGACGCGAAAGCGUGGGGAGCGAACAGG
rnacentral:rRNA from 1 species